GGGAAUGUGGCCUAGUGGUAGAGUGCUUGCCUAUCAUGCAUGAAUCCCCGGGUUCAAUUCCUCAGUUCCA
rnacentral:tRNA from 1 species